GACGUAGGGCGCGAGCGUUGUCCGGAUUUAUUGGGCGUAAAGGGCUCGUAGGCGGUUUGUCGCGUCGGGAGUGAAAACUCAGGGCUUAACCCUGAGCCUGCUUCCGAUACGGGCAGACUAGAGGUAUGCAGGGGAGAAUGGAAUUCCUGGUGUAGCGGUGAAAUGCGCAGAUAUCAGGAGGAACACCGGUGGCGAAGGCGGGUCUCUGGGCCGAUACUGACGCUGAGGAGCGAAAGCGUGGGGAGCAAACAGG
rnacentral:rRNA from 1 species